ACAAUUAAUAUUUUGAGAGUUGAAACAUAGAUGCCGAAUACAACUAAACAUCAUCUUUGGUUCCUCCAAUGUCUAUUCCCGAGUUCAAAAAAUGAAAAUGUCAACUUUUGACAAAAAAUUGAACAGGGCACAACUGAUUGGCCCUAAUGACUUGCAAUCAUGAACAGUAAUCCACUAUUCUAUACUUCUCUUGCCAGAUCAAAGGAUGCUAACAAUAUCUUGUGUAGACAGGUAAUUAUUGAAUUGCUUGUCAUAAUGUUGAAAUGGCUGAUUCUCCUUCAUUCAACAGCGACUACAGAAGUUUGAGAAUGCCAUGCUCACAUGUUUUGACAAUUCAGGAUGGAAUUUCUUCUUUACUCGUUAGAUCUUCCAAAUUGACAUUCAACUCUAAGCCCAUGUUUAAUAGACCGACGAUGGCAGGUAUGUCUGAUUUCAAGGCAGCAGCUACUGCCUUCUUAUUCUCCUCUGGCUUGUGCUUAACUACAUCCAAAGGCCACUCACUGACUAGUUUCUGAAGUUGAACGUUAACUCCAGACUUCUUGGCGUCAGGUAAAGUCUGAUUAAGGACUUGAAUGACAGCAGCAGCAUCCUCAAGCUUACGUUCUAGUAUUAGACCCUUGGCACAUGAAAAAGCACUCACAAGAGUGUGCUGUUGCAUUAACUCAGAUCUCAACUUCUCAAUUUGCCAUAACGAUUCAGUAUCUCCUCUUUUGAUAGCAAAAUCCAUCCAUAUGUCAAAUGCAGUUUUUCGUAGUUUUACGCCAGCCUUGAGAAACUUUUUUGAAUACUUCGAGAUCAACUCCCA
rnacentral:misc_RNA from 1 species